CGUGUUAAUGGAGAAGAAUUCACAGUUCCGGAAGUGGGGGUGCAUCCUGUAGAGUCUUCAUCUGGUGAACAUCCUGUUCUUGCCUGGCGCACUGGUCAGUGUGUGUCUUGCAAGGCUCCUCAAAAAUUGCUAUCCUUCAUUGUCAGCACAGGAUUGAUAUAUGGGCAUAUCCUAAUCAUGCAGAGAAAGAACACAGAGGGUCUUUGUGGGCACUUUGACUUUCAUGUCAACAAUGAUUUCCACGGCUCGUAAUAGGACUGUAUUUCCUCUGCAGUACAGACCUUUUGCAUAUCCACAUUCCUGGCUGACUGAUAUCCAAAGUAAGCGGUUUUGUGGCAAUCUUUGCCCUACAUGUGCUCAAGAAGCAACGG